ensembl:antisense Gm17036 predicted gene 17036
GUUCCAGUAUGUGUACAACAACUGUAUUAAAAGCAAGGAAGAAUCAGAAGUCGGUACCUUGUGCUCGGAGUUGGACUAGCUCCUCACCAAGGGAAUCAACAGACUCCUCCAGCUGCCUCUUCUUUUGUUCUACAUUCUGAAGGGUCUCUCUGUGUGGCCCUGGCUGAUAUAGACAAUCUUAUAAGAAGUGCAGCAGAUAUUCAGGAGACAAUCACUUUUAAUACCAUCUAAGUUUUCUCACAUUAUAGAAUAGU